rnacentral:rRNA from 1 species
GAUGAACGCUGGCGGCGUGCUUAACACAUGCAAGUCGAACGGUGAACGAGGGAGCUUGCUCCCUCCGGAUCAGUGGCGAACGGGUGAGUAACACGUGAGCAAUCUGCCCUGGACUCUGGGAUAAGCGUUGGAAACGACGUCUAAUACCGGAUACGAGGCGUGGGGGCAUCCCCAACGCCUGGAAAGAACUUCGGUCCAGGAUGAGCUCGCGGCCUAUCAGCUAGUUGGUGAGGUAACGGCUCACCAAGGCGACGACGGGUAGCCGGCCUGAGAGGGUGACCGGCCACACUGGGACUGAGACACGGCCCAGACUCCUACGGGAGGCAGCAGUGGGGAAUAUUGCACAAUGGGCGCAAGCCUGAUGCAGCAACGCCGCGUGAGGGACGACGGCCUUCGGGUUGUAAACCUCUUUUAGCAGGGAAGAAGCGAAAGUGACGGUACCUGCAGAAAAAGCACCGGCUAACUACGUGCCAGCAGCCGCCGCUGUAA